CCAAUAGCGUAUAUUAAAGUUGUUGCAGUUAAAAAGCUCGUAGUUGAAUUUCGGGGUCAGUAGGUCGGUCGUGCCACUGGUAUGAACUGGUUUUACUGAUUCCUCCCUCUUGAAGAACUGUAAUGCCAUUAAUUUGGUGUUGCAGGGAAUCAGGACUGUUACUUUUAAAAAAUUAGAGUGUUUAAAGCAGGCUUUAGCUUGAAUACAUUAGCAUGGAAUAAUGAAAUAGGACGUUUGAUCCUAUUUUGUUGGUUUCUAGGAUUGACGUAAUGAUUAAUAGGGAUAGUUGGGGGCAUUAGUAUUCAAUUGUCAGAGGUGAAAUUCUUGGAUUUAUUGAAGACUAACUACUGCGAAAGCAUUUGCCAAGGAUGUUUUCAUUAAUCAAGAACGAAAGUUAGGGGAUCGAAGACGAUCAGAUACCGUCGUAGUCUUAACCAUAAACUAUGCCGACUAGGGAUCGGAUGAUGUUAAUUUUUUAAUGACUCAUUCGGCGCCUUACG
rnacentral:rRNA from 1 species